rnacentral:lncRNA from 1 species
CAGCAACCACUGUAGCAUUGUUGAUGGCAUUGUUGAGACCACUAAUGUGGAGCUUCUUCACCUUCUUUGCAAUUUUCCGUACUUUGAAGCCUGUCUGUCGACUUUGUUGGAGUUGGGACUCCACAUCAUGUCUUAUAUCACUGACAGUCUCCUUGAGUUGCUUAGCAUUACUUGGAGGCCUUCCGUGAUCGUUGGAAUGGGUAGCUCCGGCCACCUUCAAAAUGAGAAGUUGGGACUGCACAUCAUGUCUUAUAUCACUGACAGUCUGCUUAAGUUGCUUUGCAUUACUUGGAGGCUUUCCGUGAUCUUUGGAAUGGGUAGCUCCGGCCACCUUCA